UACUACUUCCUACUACUACCAUGCUGAAGGCAAUGACAAAGACCAAUCUGAUGAGUAUAGCCAUUAUGUUAGUGACGGCCAGGCCCACUGGGAGGCUGAACGUAAAGUCCACUCCAGAAGAGCCAUACGGCCCCACAGGCAACUAUCUUCUUGAAGACCAUGCCCAUUAGGAGACUGAAGAGCAGACCCCGUAUGUUCCUGAUGGUUAUGCCCACUUUCUACUCUCCAGUUCAGCAGUAAGAUAAAGUAUGUGAACAGCCGGGCGGAGCUGCAAGAUAUAAUUCCAUUGUAGUAUGUGAACAUCCCUGAGAACAUUAUCAAAGUUGAUAAAAGAAUAAACUCUGUGGUGUUUGAUCAUUCCUUGAUGACAGGCUACCCGUUUGGCCAUAUGACGCUGUGGUCAAGAGUAGACACUCUUCCUGCCUGAGAGUUUUUGUAAGCAAACAUGUUUUUGAAAUGUAAUCCAUUGUUUAAAACCUGUCACACUCAAUUACUAUGUUAUUGUCCAGGAUCAUAAGGUUGUC